rnacentral:rRNA from 1 species
CCUACGGGUGGCAGCAGUCGAGAAUUUUUCACAAUGGGCGAAAGCCUGAUGGAGCGACGCCGCGUGGGGGAUGAAUGGCUUCGGCCCGUAAACCCCUGUCAUUUGCGAAUAAACUCUGGGAUUUAAAAGAUCUCGGAUUGAAAGUAGCAGAAGAGGAAGGGACGGCUAACUCUGUGCCAGCAGCCGCGGUAAUACAGAGGUCCCAAGCGUUGUUCGGAUUUACUGGGCGUAAAGGGUGCGUAGGUGGUGGGGUAAGUUCAGGGUGAAAUCUUCGGGCUCAACCCGAAAAUUGCCCAGAAAACUAUCCUGCUAGAGGAUCAGAGGGGAGACUGGAAUUCUCGGUGUAGCAGUGAAAUGCGUAGAUAUCGAGAGGAACACCUGUGGCGAAGGCGAGUCUCUGGAUGAUUCCUGACACUGAGGCACGAAAGCCAGGGGAGCAAACGGGAUUAGAUACCCCAGUAGUC